rnacentral:rRNA from 1 species
AACGAACGCUGGCGGCAUGCCUAACACAUGCAAGUCGAACGAACCCUUCGGGGUUAGUGGCGCACGGGUGCGUAACGCGUGGGAAUCUGCCCUUUGCUUCGGAAUAACAGUUAGAAAUGACUGCUAAUACCGGAUGAUGUCUUCGGACCAAAGAUUUAUCGGCAAGGGAUGAGCCCGCGUAGGAUUAGGUAGUUGGUGGGGUAAAGGCCUACCAAGCCGACGAUCCUUAGCUGGCCUGAGAGGAUGAUCAGCCACACUGGGACUGAGACACGGCCCAGACUCCUACGGGAGGCAGCAGUGGGGAAUAUUGGACAAUGGGCGCAAGCCUGAUCCAGCAAUGCCACGUGAGUGAUGAAGGCCUUCGGGUCGUAAAGCUCUUUUACCAGGGAUGAUAAUGACAGUACCUGGAGAAUAAGCUCCGGCUAACUCCGUGCCAGCCGCCGCAGUAAAAC